GAUGAACGCUAGCGGCAGGCUUAAUACAUGCAAGUCGAGGGGCAGCACGGGUAGCAAUACUUGGUGGCGACCGGCGCACGGGUGCGUAACACGUAUACAAUCUACCUUAAACAGGGGGAUAGCCUUUCGAAAGAGAGAUUAAUACCCCGUAACAAAUUGAGUGGCAUCACUUGAUUUUGAAAGUUCCGACGGUUUAAGAUGAGUAUGCGUCUGAUUAGCUAGUUGGUGGUGUAAUGGACCACCAAGGCGACGAUCAGUAGGGGAUCUGAGAGGACUACCCCCCACACUGGUACUGAGACACGGACCAGACUCCUACGGGAGGCAGCAGUAAGGAAUAUUGGUCAAUGGAGGCAACUCUGAACCAGCCAUGCCGCGUGCAGGAAGACGGCCCUAUGGGUUGUAAACUGCUUUUGUACCAGAGAAAACCUACUCACGUGUGAGUAGCUGAUAGUAUGGUAAGAAUAAGCAUCGGCUAACUUCGUGCCAGCCGCCGCAGUAA
rnacentral:rRNA from 1 species